rnacentral:rRNA from 1 species
UACGGAGGGUGCAAGCGUUAAUCGGAAUUACUGGGCGUAAAGCGUGCGCAGGCGGUUCGUUAAGUCCGCUGUGAAAUCCCCGAGCUCAACUUGGGAAUUGCAGUGGAUACUGGCAAGCUGGAGUACGGUAGAGGAAGGUGGAAUUCCCGGUGUAGCAGUGAAAUGCGUAGAGAUCGGGAGGAACACCAGUGGCGAAGGCGGCCUUCUGGACCAGUACUGACGCUCAUGCACGAAAGCGUGGGGAGCAAACAGG